AGAUUUACCGUGUGCCUACUCUAUAAAUGGCAAAGACCAGCUAGGGUGCAUGUUUCAAUGAGCUUAGUUCAGGAAGAGAAAGAAAAUACCUGCAUCGAUCACUACAGUACAGCAUAGUAUAUAUAACUGCCCCUGGAGACAAGGGAAUUUUCAGUCAUUGUUUAGGCUGCGGAGGUGGUAAAAGGCAGCAGAAAGGAAGGAGGAAAAGGCACGUCCUAGAAAUGAUAACUAGGGCAGCUGGAUGGAAAAGUCAAGUGCGUGGCAAGGAGUAAUGAGCACUGUGGACAAAAUUAUUUCACAGCACAUGGUUGAGAACUCUUGAAUGCUAGGCUGAGACAUGUGAGGCCACAGAAAGGUUUUCAACAAGACAGAAGCAUAAGCAAAGUGGAACUUCAGGAUCGCGUAGAGGAUGGAUUAGAGAGGGUGACUGAGACUGGAACUCAGUGACAGGCGGCAGGCUGAGGUUCAGAGUCUAAGCCAGAACAAGGGCUGAGGUGGGAAUAAAAAGGAAUGGACAGAAAUGGAAGAGAUAAAGAUGACAGAGACCCACUGAUGGCUGCAGGGGACAAGAUGACUGCACCCGGGCGAGUUGAGCAGAGGAGACUGCAGUGAGCCCUGGCAUGGCUGAGGAGGACCAGGGAUGCAGCAGCUGCCGAGAGAGGGGGAGUACAAAGUUCAAGAUGAAAAAUCAUUCACCGGAGGAUACUAUCAAGGAAAAUGUAACAAUAUUCAACAUCAUGAUCAGAAAAAUUCACCAACUUCCAGAGGCAGAGAGGAAUCUGCUUGAACAUGGAUCGAUGUGCAUCGGACUUAAUGCUGCCUUCUGUGGCCUAGUAGCACACAGUCUUUUCGGACACAUCUUAAAGGUGGCACAGGCUCAGCAACAGCAGUGACCCCAUUUGACUGUGCACAUGCCUCACGAGGGGGUUGUGAGUUUGCCUUUGCAGACAGGUGAUGUGCAUUGUGAAACCUGUCCCAUUACAAGGCAUGGAUUAGCUGGUCUUAUCUCUGGUGGUCUCUACUGUUGUUUUCUGGGCUAAAUGGGCGAAUGGCGGCCUUGCAGCCAGGUAGGACUCAGCCCUGCUACCAGAGAAAGGAAAUGAUUCACUGGAUUAGAAUUUCUACAACUGUCUUUAUAAAGACGUUAAUUCCCAUUUUGCUUCAGACUGUGUCUGCAGCAAAUGUUGGGUCUAGACAACUGCUUAUAAAGGGCCUUCAACUGCCAAAUUCACUGAUUUCAAGCAAACGUGUAUACACACACACACACAAUGGUAAAAAUAGCCUAUCUCUAAUGUAUGAAUAAAUACAGACUUGUAGUCAUGUAAGUUACAACUCUGGGACCUAAAUCAAAAGGCUACACGGAGCAACAAAAAGCUGAAUCCCAGUAAUGGCUACUCUUUCAAACAAGAGCAUAAUUUCACCAGUUUGCCCAAUAUUGUCUCUUCCCCUCACUUAUUCCACUCUACAUUAGAUGUUGAGUUUGGUCUGUAACACAAGAGGGAAAAAUAACCAUACAGCAAUUUUCACUGAUGAUUCUGUAAAGAAGCCAAACAGAAAUGAAAAUGUAAAAAAAAAAA